rnacentral:sRNA from 1 species
UUUUUGGAUGUCAAGAUGCAGUUAUUAU